ACUGAUGACGGCGAUUACAACGUCAAGCUGCGCAACCUGAUCCGCUUCCUCGACGACGGCGACAAGACGAAAAUCACGUUGCGUUUCCGUGGCCGCGAAAUGGCCCACCAGGAAAUUGGCAUGCGCAUGCUGGAACGUCUGCGCACUGACCUGGACGAAGUCGGCCAGGUCGAGCAAAUGCCGAAAAUGGAAGGGCGCCAGAUGAUCAUGGUGCUCGCUCCGAAGAAAAAGAAGUAAGCAACCCAAGUGGUUGUCAGGCAGCGCGCCGCGAGGCGCGCGCCAUCGUUGUGAAAAGAUUGAGUCGUACUUCGCCGCCUGCGUGUGCAUGCGUGGCGA
rnacentral:misc_RNA from 1 species